GGGUGGUUAGCUCAGUUGGCUAGAGCGCCUGCCUUACAAGCAGGAUGUCACAGGUUCAAGUCCUGUACCGCCCA
rnacentral:tRNA from 2 species